rnacentral:rRNA from 1 species
GGGUAACCGGCGAACGGGUGCGUAACACGUGAGCAAGCUUCCGAUUAGUGGGGGAUAGCCGGCCUAACGGCCGGGUAAUACCGCAUACGAUCACUGGGCGGCAUCGUCUGGUGAGGAAACCUCCGGGGCUAAUCGAGGCGCUCGCGGCCUAUCAGCUAGUUGGCGGGGUAAUGGCCCACCAAGGCUAUGACGGGUAGCUGGUCUGAGAGGAUGGCCAGCCACAUUGGGACUGAGACACGGCCCAGACUCCUACGGGAGGCAGCAGUGGGGAAUAUUGCGCAAUGGACGAAAGUCUGACGCAGCGACGCCGCGUGUGGGAUGAAGCCUUUCGGGGCGUAAACCACUGUUGCCCGGGACGAAUCUCCCCUUUCGAGGGGAUUGACGGUACCGGGUGAGGAAGCACCGGCUAACUCUGUGCCAGCAGCCGCGGUAAUACAGAGGGUGCGAGCGUUGUCCGGAAUCACUGGGCGUAAAGGGCGCGUAGGUGGCUUGGUAAGCGUGUGGUG